AUUGAACGCUGGCGGCAUGCUUUACACAUGCAAGUCGAACGGCAGCGCGGGCUUCGGCCUGGCGGCGAGUGGCGAACGGGUGAGUAAUGCAUCGGAACGUGCCCAGUAGUGGGGGAUAGCCCGGCGAAAGCCGGAUUAAUACCGCAUACGACCUGAGGGUGAAAGCGGGGGACCGAAAGGCCUCGCGCUAUUGGAGCGGCCGAUGUCGGAUUAGCUAGUUGGUGGGGUAAAGGCUUACCAAGGCGACGAUCCGUAGCUGGUCUGAGAGGACGACCAGCCACACUGGGACUGAGACACGGCCCAGACUCCUACGGGAGGCAGCAGUGGGGAAUUUUGGACAAUGGGGGCAACCCUGAUCCAGCCAUGCCGCGUGCGGGAAGAAGGCCUUCGGGUUGUAAACCGCUUUUGUUCGGGAAGAAGUCCUCUGGGCUAAUACCCCGGGGGGAUGACGGUACCGGAAGAAUAAGCACCGGCUAACUACGUG
rnacentral:rRNA from 1 species